GCCAUUUGGGGAAUUGCCUUUGGAAGGAGCCAGAAGGCAGGGAACUGCCGGUAGCCUCUAGGACCUGAGGGUGGCCUCCAGCUCAUAGCCGUUAAGAAGCAGGGCCUUCAGACAAAUAGCCACAAGGAAAUGACUUCUGCCAAUGACCCAGAUGAGCUUGGAAAUAGAUGCUUCCCUGGCCAAGCCUUCAGAUAAGAACACAGCUCAGCUUACACUUGGAUUGCGGCCUCCUGAGACCCCAAGCAGAGGAUCCAACUGAGCCAGGCCUGGGCUUCUGACCUAUGGAAAGUGCCCAUGAGCUCCUCGGGGACUGAUCCUCAGCCGGCUCUGUAUCUCCAGGGCCAAGCACCAUGGGAACACAACACAUGAUUGUUGAUUGCUUCCCCAAUUCACCUGACAAGUGUUAAGGAGACUGACUAUGCACCAGGCACUCGGCCAGACUUAGAGUGGAACCUCUACGGAAGACUGUCCCUGCCUUUACAGAGUGUGCAGGCCUGUGGGAGUUGAAGGAACUAGGGAACAAGUGAAUGCACACAGGAUAACAAAGUAUGAUGAGGAAACUGAAGCUCAAGGGAGUCUGGGAACCUGCCCAAGGUUGCACAGCUGAGCCAAGAUAUCAUCUCACAAGCGCCUCCCUGGUCUUUCCCCACGUACUGCUGCAGUGACCAUAGAGAGCCCCACUCUGGGAAGCAAUCCCUGCCCUCCCUGGUCCUGAGCUAUCCGGGAGUCAGGUCAUGUCCCAUGAUACCACAACAUUUGUUCAAGUCACAGAAAAGUCCAUUGAACGGCACUGGAAUAAGCGGGACCACCAACUUAUGGCCUGUGCCACAUCCUAGUGACCACAGAGACCCCACAGUCACACUGUUCCCAGGGCUUGUGGUCACAGGCCAGCCCCCCACAGCCAGAGCGUGGUGCCUACCGAGUCCGGACAGAACCCUCUCCCCUGCCAGCCCUGACCUCCCAGACAAACACCUGCCCCUUCCUCACCUGGAGACCACCAGUGGUAGGAUCAGCAUCUUCAACAUCCUCAUUAAGAGCUCUCCAGGAAACUGGAAAUAACUAAUUUCCUGUAAAUACAGGAGGAACUGGGGUUAGAGCAGGUGGCACUGACUUCAGAGUUUCUUUACGGUCUUCAAAGCCCUG